GGAAAACUGAGGACAUAAGGGCAUAGCAAAGAGUGGAUCUGAGGGCAAACAGACUCAGGACCUGCACAGCAGCCUAUGAUGUCGAGCUUCUCCAGCUCCUGCCCCACCAACGGCCAGUUAGAACACUUUACUGGAAGCUUACCGAGCGCUACUGGCAGAGACCAGCAGGGGGAAGCCUGGCUCAAGGAAUGAAAACUCCUGAGCCCCAUGCUCCCAAGCCUGGAGGAGCAGCAGCAUCAGCUAAAAGGUUCUCAGGACAUUGAAGGAGUGAGCUUCACUUCACCACCCACACCCACGCUACCACUAUGCAGGUGGGGAAACUGAGUCUCAGAAAAGAGAAGGAAUUUGUCAUUUGCUUAUUAUCUACUUUUAGUGGUGCAGCCAGAAAAGGAAUCCAAUAGGCAGAAGCCCAAAAACCUAGAAUGUCAUCAUCCCUGAGCACUGACAGUUUCAUACCCCCAGUUCUCAGCCAUUGGACAGAUGGAAAGGAGGCAGAGCCCUCUCUGCCCUAAGUCUGGUUGUUGAGCUUAGAAGAGAAGGCAGUGCGCAAAAGUCAAAAGAGACAAGUCAGGAGACCUGGUCUGGUUCCAGUCCCAAAAGUAACUGGAUGACUACAUGAUCCCAGCUGAGCAAAUUCCAUCUCAAUUUUCUUUUUGCAAUGAAAGUAAUACACAUGUGAUAAAAAUCUACCAAACAAAAACUUCAAACUGUGCAUAAGGGUGUAAAAUGAAGUAAAUUAACUAUGAA
rnacentral:lncRNA from 10 species